UACAGAGGUCUCAAGCGUUGUUCGGAAUCAUUGGGCGUAAAGGGUGCGUAGGCCGCCCGGUAAGUCAGAGGUGAAAUCCCGGAGCUCAACUCCGGAAAUGCCUCCGAUACUGCCGUGCUUGAGGACUGGAGAGGAGUCUGGAAUUCACAGUGGAGCAGUGAAAUGCGUAGAUAUUGUGAGGAACACUAGUGGCGAAGGCGAGACUCUGGACAGUUCCUGACGCUGAGGCACGAAGGCCAGGGGAGCAAACGGG
rnacentral:rRNA from 1 species